GAUGAACGCUGGCGGCGUGCCUAAUACAUGCAAGUCGAGCGAACGGACGAGAAGCUUGCUUCUCUGAUGUUAGCGGCGGACGGGUGAGUAACACGUGGAUAACCUACCUAUAAGACUGGGAUAACUUCGGGAAACCGGAGCUAAUACCGGAUAAUAUUUUGAACCGCAUGGUUCAAAAGUGAAAGACGGUCUUGCUGUCACUUAUAGAUGGAUCCGCGCUGCAUUAGCUAGUUGGUAAGGUAACGGCUUACCAAGGCAACGAUGCAUAGCCGACCCGAGAGGGUGAUCGGCCACACUGGAACUGAGACACGGUCCAGACUCCUACGGGAGGCAGCAGUAGGGAAUCUUCCGCAAUGGGCGAAAGCCUGACGGAGCAACGCCGCGUGAGUGAUGAAGGUCUUCGGAUCGUAAAACUCUGUUAUUAGGGAAGAACAUAUGUGUAAGUAACUGUGCACAUCUUGACGGUACCUAAUCAGAAAGCCACGGCUAACUACAUG
rnacentral:rRNA from 1 species